rnacentral:rRNA from 1 species
AGUGAACGCUGGCGGUAGGCCUAACACAUGCAAGUCGAACGGCAGCACAGUAAGAGCUUGCUCUUACGGGUGGCGAGUGGCGGACGGGUGAGGAAUACAUCGGAAUCUACUUUUUCGUGGGGGAUAACGUAGGGAAACUUACGCUAAUACCGCAUACGACCUACGGGUGAAAGCAGGGAUCUUCGGACCUUGCGCGAGUGAAUGAGCCGAUGUCGGAUUAGCUAGUUGGCGGGGUAAAGGCCCACCAAGGCGACGAUCCGUAGCUGGUCUGAGAGGAUGAUCAGCCACACUGGAACUGAGACACGGUCCAGACUCCUACGGGAGGCAGCAGUGGGGAAUAUUGGACAAUGGGCGCAAGCCUGAUCCAGCCAUACCGCGUGGGUGAAGAAGGCCUUCGGGUUGUAAAGCCCUUUUGUUGGGAAAGAAAAGCAGCAGGUUAAUACCCCGCUGUUCUGACGGUACCCAAAGAAUAAGCACCGGCUAACUUCGUG